UACAGAGGGGGCAAGCGUUAUUCGGAAUUAUUGGGCGUAAAGGGCGCGUAGGCGGCCUGGCAAGUGGAAGGUGAAAUCCCUCGGCUUAACCGAGGAACUGCCCUCCAAACUGCUUGGCUUGAGACCGGGAGAGGUGAGUGGAAUUCCCAGUGUAGCGGUGAAAUGCGUAGAUAUUGGGAGGAACACCAGUGGCGAAGGCGGCUCACUGGACCGGUACUGACGCUGAGGCGCGAAAGCGUGGGGGAGCAAACGGGGAU
rnacentral:rRNA from 1 species